AUUACUUUUAUCUUAAGGAUGCUGUUCUAUUUAUGAUCUAUUAAGUUUCUAACUUGUUAUCCGUAGCGAAAACAAAUACUAUUCCAGCUUCUGAUUGUUGAGUGCAGAAAACUCGAAGCAUCGUGAUGGAUUUUCUUAGUAAUCUGCAACAGAAUUAUGAGAUGGCUGAAGAGUGCUUGAAAACAAACUUCUAUGGCACUAGAGAUGUUACCCAAGCACUUAUCCCCCUUCUACUGUCAUCCAAUUCUGGAAGAAUAGUAAAUGUUUCAGCAAAAAUUGCGCAAUUUAAGGCGAAUAAGCCAUUCUCAAUUGAUUGAGUUCUUUCACUAUAUCUAUUUACUUAAAAGGUUAAUUUUAUACAAAAAUAUAAUCGAAUAGUAAAUUUAUCCCUACAAGAUUUAACUUUUUCAUAUUUAUCCUUGCAAAAGCUAAAUGACAUUCAUAUUUGCCCUCUGAUUUAUUAUCGUUAGAGCACUGUUUAUUUUUUAAAUAGAAAAUAAGUGAAAUAAUAUUUUUGACAUCACAAAUAUACCCCUCGAAAAGCCCAAACUGUUAAAAUUAUAUAAAAAUAUCCUCCAAAAAAUCUCUAAUGGUCAUCUUCUUUCUUUUACCAUCACAAAUAAUAUAAAAGGAAUAAAAAGGUCAAUUUACCUCAUUCACUAAUCAAGAUUAAGUAUUUUACCUAUGGUUAACUAUAUAUUUCUAACGGAUCUUAACAGUAGGAGUAUAUUUGAAAAUAUUAAAACUUUUGUAAGAAUAAAUAUAAAAUGUUGAAUUUUGUAGAAAUAUAUCUGCUAUUCGAUAUGCUUAUAGAGAGUUGCAUGCAAUUAACCCUUACUUAGAUAAAAGUUAAAAAAUAUAUAUUUAUUUGACAGUAGUUUAAUUUUGUGCCAAAAAGGUAUAUAAAAUGUGUUUUGCAAAAAUUAAUGUGUUUUCUCAAAAAACUAAAAUAGAAAUCACACGGGUUGUAGCAUUACACUUCAAACCACAAAGUGGUGGUGUUUUUUCAAUCUACAAUCAAUAAAAUAUAGAGUAAACUUCAAAUACCCCCAUUGUGGUUUCGCACUUUCUCACUUUAAUAUCUUGUGUUUUAAAGUGUAUCAAGUUAGCCCCUGUGGUUUCGCACUUUCUCACUUUAGUAUCAUGUGGUUUAAAGUGUAUAAAGUUAGUACCCUAUGGUUUCUUUUUUUUCUUUUUAUUAUCUAUUUUACUAAUUUUUUUCGUUAAUUAAAAAUUAGUGACAAAGUUAAAAUUAAAGGGUACUAAAGUGAAUAUUCGAUAAACUAGGUAGAGUAUCUGAAGUUUUUUAUAUUUAAUUUAAUGAAAUAUUAACGGAGGAAAAAAAAUCAGUGACAAAGUUAAAACUANAAAUAAUAUAAAAGGAAUAAAAAUGUCAAUUUACCUCAUUCACUAAUCAGGAUUAAGUAUUUUACCUAUGGUUAACUAUAUAUUUCUAACGGAUCCUAACAGUAGGAGUAUAUUUGAAAAUAUUAGAACUUUUGUAAGAAUAAAUAUAAAAAGUUGAAUUUUAUAGAAAUAUAUUUGCUAUUUGAUAUGCUUAUAGAGAGUUGUAUGCAAUUAACCCUUACUUAGAUAAAAGUUAAAAAAUAUAUAUUUAUUUGACAGUAGUUUAAUUUUGUGCCAAAAAGGUAUAUAAAACGUGUUUUGCAAAAAUUAAUGUGUUUUCUCAAAAAACUAAAAUAGAAAUCACACAAGUUGUAGCAUUACACUUCAAACCACAAAGUGGUGGUGUUUUUUCAAUCUACAAUCAAUAAAAUAUAGGGUAAACUUCAAACACCCCCAUUAUGGUUUCACACUUUCUCACUCUAAUACUAUGUGGUUUAAAGUGUAUCAAGUUAGCCCCUGUGGUUUCACACUUUCUCACUUUAGUAUUCUUUGGUUUAAAGUGUAUAAAGUUAGUACCCUAUGGUUUCAUUUUUUUUCUUUUUAUUAUCCAUUUUACUAAUUUUUUUCGUUAAUUAUAAAUUAGUGACAAAGUUAAAAUUAAAGGGUACUAAAGUGAAUAUUCGAUAAACCUAGGUAGGGUAUCUGAACUUUUUUAUAUUUAAUUUAAUGAAAUAUUAACGGAGGAAAAAAAAAUCAGUGACAAAGUUAAAACUAAAGAGUACUAAAGUAAAUAUUCGAUAAACCUAUGUAGGGUAUCUGAAGUUUUCUGUAUAUAAUUUAAUAAAAUAUUAACAGAUGAGCCGACGAAAAGAGAAAAAUGAAAUCACAGGGCACUAAAUUGAUGCACUUUAAACCACAGGGUAUUAAAGUGAGAAAGUGCGAAACCGCAGAAUACUAAAUUGAUACGCUUUAAACCACAGGGUACUAAAGUGAAAAAGUGCGAAACCACAGGGGUGGUAUUUGAAGUUUUUCCUAAAAUAUAUUCCAUUCAUAACCCUUUUAAUGACAAAUCUUAUAUAAACUAUAUUACUUUUUAUAUUUUUCCGAUCUGCAGUCUAUAAAAUAUAAUAUUUUGAUAUCUUUUUAACGACAGAUCGUAUAUAAAUUGUAAUUACUUUCUGAAUUUACCCAAAUAAACUGUAUGAUUCCAUUAACAUCUCAGAUCAACUGAAGCCAAAAGCUCAUGGAGGUGCUUCAGAAAAGGUGAUGGGCAAACAGAGGAGAAGCUGCUGGAGUUAUCCAGUUCCUUUUUAGAUGACUUCAGAGGAGGCAAAUUGCAAUGCAAUGGGUGGCCAACAACUACAUCAGCAUACACAGUGUCUAAAGCUUUAGUAAAUUCAUACACUAUGAUUUUGGCCCAAAAAUACCCUUCUUUGUGCAUAAAUUGUGUAAACCCCGGUUUUGUUAAAACUGAUAUGAAUUGGAACAUUGGAAUUAUGACCGUUGAAGAAGGUGCCAAGGGACCUGUCAUGUUAGCCCUAAUGGACGGUCCUGAUCGCUCCGGUCUCUUCUUUGAUCAGAUUGAAGAGUCCACCAUUUGAUUAAAUAAGGUGGCCAUUUUAAUUUUUUCUACAAUAUGUAAUAAUUAAUCAUCUACACUUUUUUCAUUUUUUUCCCUAUUUGAAUAAUAGGAGCUGCUAAGGCUAACUAUAAAACCCUUCGGAGGUGACUUGAAAGGUCAAAAGUAUGCACUUUACAUAUAUUGUGAUCAUAUAUAGAAAUAAAUUUUACUAACUGUUUACUAACGCAAAUGACAAGGGACUUGGUGAUUGGUAUCCGAAGUUACAAAUUCGAAGCCUAAUUGCUUCAUAUUUUCAGUUAAGUUUAUUUGUAAAAAAAAUAAACCAAACGAGUAGCAUACAAUCUUCCUCUAAAAAAAAAAAACCCCAAAAGAGAAAACUCGGUUAUAAACUCUUUUCCAAACAAGUUAAACUAUAAACAAAUUUGUGUUGGAUUUACAGAAAACAUGCUGAAAUUUAACUUCACAAAACGAUAUGACUAUAGACCUCCAAUCUUAAAUAAUAUUCAUCUACACUAUUUGACUAGUGAAUGUGCGCGUAAUUUCCCUUGCUUGUGAGGCUUCUUUCUACUACAACUCACAUAGGCUUCCUCUAUUUUUUUGAUCUCGAAUUCAAGUUCACCGAUUGAAGCGAAGACCGACAAAAUGGAACGGAAGAGAUCGAACUCUGGAACAGGGUCAAGUGGUACAUUUACUGGUCGAAGGUAAAAUGUGCACAAUCUUCAUCUGGAUUAUGGGGAAAACCCUGUAGCAUGCAAGCAAGUCAAUUCGACAAGGUAAAGUAAAAAAAAAAAAAAAAGAAAAAAAAAAGAAAAAGAAAAAGUAUCCCUCUUGUUCUUUUCCUCUCUUUCAAAAAAAAUAAAAAGAAAAAAAAAGAAUUUGUUGACACUUUCCUUCCACGUGGGAAAGCAUGUUUGGAAACAAAAUCAGAAUCAAAACUUGAACCAACUGCACGAUGAAAAGGCGGAAUACUUGCCAUUCCGUCACUUGAAUGAUUGAAUCGUCCCUAUUACUAUAGAUUGAAUUAACCACCUUAUAGUAGGUAAAGAGCUCAAGACAAACAAAGCCCAUGUGCCGAUAGCGCAUUAUGGACUUCAAAAGGAGGAAACCACUGGCUUUGCAACUAUCUCCACUGGCCGAGAAAUUGGUUAAACUGCUAGCAAUAAUAACUCGUUGGGCCAAACCACCAGUCCAAAAUACUUAAGCCCGGUUAUUAUUACUAGUGCUCUCUCUAUUUAGACCUGACGUUUUCGUCGAGUCCAAACCAGAAUUACCUGGAAUUACCAGACGAUGUGAGAUUAAAAAGUAACACUUUGCCCGACAUAGCACUUAACUCUCACACUUCCGAUUGGUAUUCGGCUCUGAUACCAAUUGUAACGAUCCUAUCCGAUCCGCUAGCAAUAAUAACUCGUUGGGUCCAAACAACGGAUCCAAAAUAUUAAAACUCAAUUAUUAUUACUAGGGUGUAAGCUUUAUAUAUUCUAAUCAGAAUCAGUUUUCCAUCCGAUGUUGAACUAUUAGGGCAUUAUAUUUUUUUUCCGAAAUUGCUUCUAUCUAGAAUAUUAUGCCUUCAUAGUAACCCCACUCUAGAUCGACAGUUGGAUGAAUGCAGACUCGCUGUCUAGCUCACAUAGAGGGCUUUCUUUAAACAAGAGGAAGGCUUUUAAGGGGGGCGUUGAAUGUUGAGACUGGGCCAAGUUCUCUUCUGUAUCAACCUUAGUCUGCAGAGAGAAUUGGGCCUUUCGUUUCUUAGACUUGGGUGCAACUUCGAAAGAUCAGAAAGCAGGCCUGAUUCAAGAAUAGGGCUGUCGGUUGAGCCCAUUUGGAUUGGAGCCAGCUCCCCAAUAUUUUCUUAUGUGUGACUCCUAAUAAAUAGUAUUUAUUUGGAAAAAGAUUAAAAUGUAAAAAAAGAAAAUUUUGCUUGCAAAUUUUAAUAUAUAAAUGAAUUUUAUUUGAUUAUAGUCAUGUAACUUGGCAAAAUAAUGUGAAGAAUUAUAGUAGAUUUAUUAAUUAAGUUUGUUUUUCUAUUACAGGUAGAUUAGUUUGAAAACUUCUAUUGUGUGAUAAAUUAGUAAAUUAAUAAAGAAUGAAAUCAAAUAAAAUUUUUUUGAAGUAUUCUAAUUGUUGAUGUAUUUUGAAAAUAGAGUGGUAUUUAAAGAAAAACUUGUCAUUUACUAUCAAUAAUAUUCUAAAUGAACUCCUUAUAUAUAAUUUAAGUUAAUUAACUUAAAUUUUUUUACAAAAUUUAUUGAUAAAAUUUUAAUUAUUAUUUAACGAACAAAAUUAAAAUAGUUAACGAUUUAUCUUUUAGUUAAGUUGUUGCUAUAUUUUAUAAAUCGAGCAAUGCUAUCUAUACACCUUGAAGUUGUGUAAAAUUUAUAUGCUACAUUUUAAGAGGCUGAGAUCAACUCGCUUAUCUUAAUAAUCUUUUUAAUGUGUCCUAUGUAUGGUGGAGCCAAUUUUUUUAAUGUGUCCUGUGUAUGGUGGAGCCUGAGACGGUCGACCACUUCUUUGUCAGAUGCAAGAUUACAAAAUCCCUCUUGGACAACCAACUAUUCAAUAAAAAAAUUUUACUCAGUUGCCUGUCAGUGAGUGGGCUGUGGGGGUAGGGAAGCUUACAACUAUUGUCUCAUUGUGGUGAAUUAUUUGGUUGGAGUGAAAUAAGAGAAUAUUCUAGGAAAAAAAAACCGCAACUCAAGCCAAUUGUUGGUGAUGUCCCGUUACUUUAGAAACCUGUGAAAAACUUAGUAUUUUACAUAAAUUGACUCUCUCUCUUUUUUUUCGAGGCCGGGCUGUCUUAGUACGAUGUUUAGUUCAACUUCUUUAUGAAUAAAGCGGUAGCAUACUAUUUUUUUUCAAAAAAAAUAAAUUAAUGUUAAAUGUUUUAAAAUAUUUAAAAUUUUAAAUCUAAAAGUAUAACAUAUUCACGAAGUGAAUAGGUAGCAUUUUUUUUUUUGUAAAUAUACAAAGAUGUACAUGUCGGUGUUGUGACCUUGACUAAUGUACAUAUCGGUACAUAAACUUUUGAACAAAUCUCUUUUAUAUACAGUCAAAAUUUUUAUAUAAUUAAUGCCUAGGUAAUAAUUUUUUGAAUCAUGUGAUGUGUUAAAAUCGGAACGGAAAAAAAAAGAUACAGAAAAUAAUUUAAUGUAGAAAAAAAAGGAUAAAAAAAGAGCACACCGAUAUUUACGUGGUUCGGCCAAUGACCUACGUCCACGGACGAAGACGGAGCAAAUAAUUUAUUAAUGUCGAAAGACGGAGUACAAGAAAAUUUCUCAAAGACCAAAAUUUAAUUAGAUCCGAAGCACCGAAAAUCCGCAUUCGUACAUGCGAUUCCAAAUAAGCUGCUCGGCUUACCAAAUGAAGGAUGUACGGCACCAUGCACCCUGAUUGAUGGUGUUGCAGCCACCGUACGAACCAUCACAAGCCACUUAAUUAAUUAGUGCAUCACAGCUCCUUCAACAGAAACAAGCAACCUCACAUUUUAUUAAUUAGCAUGGCAUCUUAAUAGGCCGGUCUCUUGCAGAACCAAGAACUCUCUAAUAUGCAAGGCUUAAUUUGAGUCGCGGCGGCUUCAUUAACAUGGCUGGCAUAUAUAUAGAGAAUGGCUUCAAAUUAGAGUCUAAUUGGAACUCUAAUCUAAUUAGAUUUCUAAAUACAAGUCUAAUCUAAUUCAAUUUGAAAUUAGAUUCCGAUUUAUAAUUCAUAUGUGCCAAAUUAAAUCUAAAUUAUAUAUAAUUUCAAUUAAAUUAGGAUUUAACUCUAAUUUAGAUAACUACAAAUUUAAACCAAAUAUAACAUGAUGUUUUAUAUAUUAGUAUUUUAUCAGAUAAGUGAUAUUAUUUCAAGACGUAUGUUUAUUUGAAGAUAAAUGUAAGCUAGGGGUGGCAAUCCAGCUCGUGUUCGGCUCGAAAUGAGCUCGAGAUCGAAUCGCUCGUUUAGUAAAUGAGCCGAACACGAGCUGAAUUUUUCGGCCCGUUUAAUAAACGAACUGAACACGAGCUAGUGUUAGCUCGCUCGUGUUCGGCUCGAUAACAGCUCAAAUACAUAUAUUUUAUAUUUAUAUAAUUUAUUUAAUGUAUAUUAUUAUAUAUAAAUAUAUAAUUAUAUAUAAUAUAUAUUUUUAUUAUUUAAUUUUUAGCAAAAGAAAAAUAUAAAUGCGAGCUUAAUUAUAAAAAGACUCAUUUGUAUGUAAAGUUUCAACUAUUAGAUUAAAGUCUAAUGAAUAAAAUUUUAUAAAUUUAAUUUUUUUAUAUAUAUUCAAUCUAAUUCUUUUUAACUUAUUGUUUGUUGGUCAGCUCGUGAGCCAGUUCGUAUUCGGCUCGUUUAUUAACGAGUGGAACACGAGCUGAAUUUUUGGCUCGAUCCUUUAACGAGCCAACUCGUGUUCGGCUCGUUUAUUAAACGAGCUGAAUAUGAGCCGGCCCUAGCUCGCUCGUGUUCGGCUCUUUUACACCCCUACUCCAUGCAGGAAUACUGGUUUCAGCUCUGCCUUUUCAUUAUUUUUGGGUCAUGCAUGUUUCAGCAUCAAUAACUUUUAAUACUCUUUUGCUUCACCAGAGAGACAAAAUAAAAUAAUGAGGCUCAAAAACAAGAACCUAAACCUUAUGCUAUCAAAAAUAUUAAAGUUAUUUUAUAAUUGUAUUUUGCUUUUUUUUUUAACAAUACAAUUGAGAAAUAGUUUUUAAAUAAAAUUAUAGCAGCUCUUUCUCUCUUGAUACAAUUUUAUUUGACGCUUUAAUAGUUCCACAUCAGAUAACAUGAAUAUGUGUGAGAAAUUUAUGUGUAGCUGUAUAGCAUAUUAUUAGCUAAUAACUGAAUUUAAAUAUUUUGUAUUAAUAUUUUAGACUCGACAAGUUAUCAGUGUUGGUGGACAGAGUCAUCACAUGCAGUCUCUCUCUCUCUCUCUCUCUCUCUCUCUGUGUUUGGUUGCUGUAUCCACAUCAGCAAAAACUGACAAUCAAUCUUAGUUGCCAAGGGGAUAGGAAAGGACAACAAGUGAUGAAGACUUACACAUGUACAAAGACCAAACCCUAGCUUAGUGGCUGCUUCCCUUUGGACCAGUUUCUAGGAAAAAGAGGAGGUAGUUGGAAUGUUGAUCUUGAACUCUGUAGGCACUUUUAAUGGGGCUCCUCAAUUCACAAACCAUGUGUUCCACAUGGAAAGAGAAUCAAUUGGGCCCUCAACUUUAGACCAAGUGAUCAAAAAGGGUCCCAGUAAGGAAAUACUUUAGAUUCUUUUUAGAUGAAUAUCUUAUAUAUGCUACUGAUAUAGUCACAAUUGAUAUUGCAUGAGUUAAUCAAUUAAAUUUCUUUACAUUAUAGUACCAGCACAUUAGCAUUAUUAAUAUAUAAAGAUAAUAUUUGAUAAUUUUGUAGCAGUACCUCGCAAUAUAGAGUUUCUAUGUGAUCUGAUAAUGUACUGAUUAAUUUAUAUAAUAUUUUAAAGGCCAAUUUGUAUAAAAAAAUCCACUAAUUUUAUGUUUUUGCAAAAGUGGGCCACCUUUUUAGUUUUUGCAGAUUCGGACCGAAUUUUUAGAAGGAUGACCAAACAACUCUUCUGUCAAAAUGCAUAAAAAUUAUAUGCUUUAAACGCCUAGAAAAAUACAACUGUUAAGUCACUAAGUGUAAAACUUCUUGAAAUGACAACUGCUAAGCCAUAAUUAUAUGUACCUUUCUCGUGAAACGAAAAACCUCAUUCAAGACAAAAUAAAAAAAUAAAGAAUAAUUAGUAAGAUGAAAGAGUGCAACAUCCUCUCAAAUAGUGCAACAAACUCAUCAAAAUAGUGCAAUAUCUGUAUAAGUAGUGCAACAUAUGCAUUGUUAAUACAUAUUUUGCAUGAUUUUUACACUAAAUUACGCACAGUUUAGUAUAUUACGCGAAAAUAAUAUAUUAUAUUACAACAUACUAUAAAAAUUAUACAAUAUAUGUAUAAACGGUGNNNNNNNNNCCAAAUCAAUUGAAUUUUUGUUUGAAAAUUCUUUAAACUAUUUAAAACAAGAUCUAUACCCUUGAUCUUUAUUACAAGACUCCUAUCAUUAUUUUUUAAAGAAUAUUCAUUUUCAGCCGUUCAUUUUUGUGUCACUUGAUGGAUAAGAAAAUAAUAUCGGAAAUGUAUGAAAUUUGAUUUCUAAACAUUUCAAGUGGUAUAGAUCACGUUCAACAGUGCGGAUCGUCGAUUUAUAGGCUCCAUUAUUGAAAAUAAAUGGAUGGCAAUGGAGCUCGUUUGCUANUUUUAAAUAUUUUUUAAUGUGUUUUUCAUAUUAUUAAGUCUAAUCAAAUAUGGUUAUAUAUUUUUUUCUUAUUUACAUUUUUAUUUAUUUAUUUAAUUUGUAAAUUUUUAUUAAAAUAUUUUUUUUUCGCUGUAUCGCGCGGGUCACUACACUAGUAUAUAUUUAUAUUUCAAAUCAUCAUUAAAAAAUAUGAAAAAUCUAAAAAAAUGAGAGCUUGCCAUGUCAUCUUUCUUAUUGGGGAUUCAUAUAUGUUACAGGUCAUUGAUGACGUUAUAUUAAUACAAUUCUUAUCAGUAAGAUUUAUUUUAGGGGCUUUUGUUCAAAAUUUCUAAAUUGACUCUGCUAUUUUCCAAAUAUUUUUCUAAACUUCAAAUUUUAUUAAUAAACUCUCAGGUUCGGAGUAUAUUUUAAAAAAAAAUUAUAAAUCAUGGCAUUUUAAUUUAUCAAAAAUAUAUUAAAUAUUUUUAAAGUUUUGAAAGAUAUAUUACAUAUUAUCCUUUUAUUUUUUAUAGAAAUAACAAUAUUUAAUCAAUGAUUCAUAUUGCACAAAAGUAUAUAAACAAUUUUAGAAACAACACAUUAAUUUUAAUAUAAAAUCAUCGAAUCAUCCUUACGGCCGCGUUUGGUUCUUCGAAAAAUAAUAGAGGACUAUUUUUGAAAACAAAAUUCAUAAAAAAUAAAAUUUUUAGCUUGCAGCUUUAUUUUUAUUUUCAAAAAAAGAAGACAUGGAAAACGAAAGAAAAGGACUUUCUUGUGAAAUUAUUUUUUUAAAAAAAUAUUCUUUCUAAAAAUAAAUAUAUAUAUAUAUUUUUAAUUAAAAACUAACUAUAGUAUCGAUAGUAUCAAACUCUUGGUAUUAUCGAAUUUUCUGUUGUUAGAUCUACCUUUUAAUUAUCCUUUUAUCCAACGGCCGAAAACUCGAUAGUAUCAAACACUUUGUACUAUCGAUAGUAUAGUAGUAUAAUUCUCUCUCUCUCUCUCUCUCUCUCUCUCUCUCUCUCUGCUCUCUCUCUCUCUCUCUCUCUCUAUAUAUUAUAUAUAUAUAUAAACAAUUAUUAUAUGAUUGAGAAAGACUAUUGUCCAUUAAAAGCAUAGAGUUCCUUAUACUCCCCUAACUUUCUAAACCAUUCAUCAUUUUGAUAAAUGGUUAGAUGAAGAGGAAGAUAAAUUGAGAAGAAUAGGAUAUCUUAAUUUUUUUUCUUUUUGAAUAUCUCCCUACUUUUCUUCUGUCUCUCAUCUAACCAUCCAUCAAUUGAUUAGAAAAAGUAGGAGUUAUAAGGGUUCGUGUACUCCUAAUAACACAAUAGCAGAAGAGAGAGAGAGAAUCCGACUAUGGCUGCUUAUAAAGCUUCAAGCAAUUCGGUGCUUGAAAUUUUUACCGUUGAGAUCAUAUCUGCUUUGCAUCAUUUAUCAUGCCGUUGUAAAUCAUACUCUAUUCAACCAACACUUUCACUCAACCCUAAGGAUCACAUCAUUCCUAACAGCACAUUCUUAAUACAAGUGGCCAAAAUCCUACAAGCACCAUAACUUGUACUUUUAAAAAUAUAGUAAGCUCAAUUAUAUAUAUAUAUAAUAUAUAUAUAAAAAACUAGGCUAGAAUACUAUCAUAGCACCAAGUAUUGUCUAUUAGUUUUUUAGCGCAUGGAUUGUGAAUGUGCGGGUUAGAAUGAUGGGCUUGCCCGCCUUGGGUUGGUGGGUGGUUGUGUGAAUAGUAUCAUCAAACGAGGUAAAAAAAUCAAGAAUUAAAUCUACGGUGGAAAAUUUCGGGAUAAGUAUUGCAGCCGGACACUCUCUUCUCUCUCUCUCUCUCUCUCUCUCUCUCUCUCUCUCGCUUCUUCUCUCUCCUACAUAUAUAUUAUAUAUAUAUAUAUAAGAGAGAGAGAGAGAGAGAAUUAGGCUGGAAUACUAUUAACAGCACUAAGUUGUUGGUGCUAUUAGUUUUUUAGCCUUUGGAUUAAGAAAUGUGCUGUUAGAAUGAUGUGGGCCCCCUACGGUUGAGUGGGCAGUUGGUUGAAUAGUAUAAUCUAACGGAUAAAAAUAAUCAAAGGAAUUAAUCUAACGGCAGAAAACUUGAUAGCACCAAAUAUUUGGUGCUAUCGAUAGCAUAGCAGCCGAACUCUAUAUAUAUAUAUAUAGUGUGUGUGUGCGCGAAAAGUCAUUGCAAAAGUUAUAAAAUUUAUUUUUAAUAAUAAAUGUUAAAGCAAUGCAAGUGUAUAUCGAUCAUAUAGAUGUAAAUUUUACGCUCUAGUUUUUGAAAAGUUAGGGUUAUUCAUUUAUCAUAUAAUAAAAUUUUUUAAAUAUUGAAACACUAAUUUAAAAGAAUUUUAUAAAUUCUUGGAUCUACCGGACGUAAGAUAUACAUUCCAGUAUAGAAUGAACACGUAGUAUUUUUCUAAAAACACAAUUUUUUAUAUACCCCUCACUAUUAUUCAAUUUUUUGAAAUUCACACUUUGUUUUCUAAAAUACCCUCUGAAAAUCCUAAUCUUCUCAAUAAAUCCCUAAGGGCAUGUUUUAGGGGCAAAUUUGAAAAUAAAAAAAGUAAUUUUAAAAAUCUGAAAUAAAUUAGAUACUUUUUAAGGUUUGGAAAUGUAUAUUAGGUAGGUAUUAUCCCUUUUCUAAAAGUCAUCGAGUAUGAUUGAAGCGUAAGACAUGACGCCAAAAACAAAGAAAUUUCCUUAAUUAAUUAAUUAAUUAGCCUAUGUUCCUGCUAUAUAUAUAUAUUGGUGGCAAACUAGAGUUCCCACAUUGAGUCCCAUUUGGAACCUGAAGCUAUCACAAUAGUACUCUCUCUUAAACCUUCUCUUGAUUACAACAUCUACAGAUAUGGCAUCAAAAACUAAGGAAGAUCAGAUCCCCAGUCCCAACAGGUAACAUUCACAAACUCUAAUGUUCUGUCUAAACACACGAAAUAUCUUAUUCGAUGUAUUCUUUUUCUUUAUUCAAUGUAUCCUUUUUCUUUAUUCAAAAAGCUUUCACUGUCGAGCUGGGUGAUAUCUCCAUCUUUUUAAUAUUCGAUUUGACGCUAUGAUCGUUUUUAACCUUUUUAUUACUCUUCUUUUAUCUUUAUUUUUAGUUUUUUUUUUUCUUUUGAUUUUUUCCUUCUCUUGAGGCCCUUGCUAGCUCACUCUGUGUAGUUAAAUUCAUUACUUGAAUAAAUGAAGCAAGUAGAGUGCUAUUUUUUUAUCAAACAAAAAAAAACGCUUUUAGUAUUCUUAGACAAGAAACUUGAUUAAAUAUUUAAUAAGACACAUUACAUUCAGCCUCCAAGAUACUUUUCUAAACUAAAGUAAUCAGCUUGCAGGUAAAAUACAGUAUCAUAUAACAAAUUAUGGCCACCAAAAUCUUGCAAGAGCUAAAAUGAAAAAUCUCAUAGGCCUCGUUUUUGAAUGAGUAAACAUUGUGUUUCGUUCACCGUAUCUCUUAUUUAUUUGAGAAGCUGAAAUAUUUGGUAAAUGAGGGAUCUAGAUAUUUAGUGUCCGGAAAGGCAUAUAAAAUUCAACUUUUGAGUCAUUGUUUUAAAAUAAAAUAAAUUAUCUCGUAAGCAAAAUAUAUUAUCCUAUUGAAUCAUGGAUGAAAAAAAUCAAACUCCUAAUCUAUUAUCACACAAGGCAAUUUUCAUAGCGCAUAAACUAUCAGUGAAUAGUUUGUUCUGGUAUCCGAACAAGGUGAUAACAUACAAAUUGUUACUGAACGACUUGUUUUGAUAUCCAAAUAUAUCCUAGGCAACUCUGUAGUCUUGUUACACAAAUUUGUUCUUUACAAAAGUUGUUUUAUUUAAUUUUAUUUUCUUUUCUCUUUUAGGAUUGCCGUGGUAACAGGAGGGAACAAAGGAAUUGGAUUGGAGAUAUGCAGGCAGUUGGCUUCUAAUGGAGUCAGAGUCAUACUAACUGCUAGAGAUGAGAAGAGGGGUUUGGAAGCAGUAGAAAAGCUCAAACAAUCCGGGCUUUCCGAUGUAAUCUUCCACCGAUUAGAUGUGACCGAUCAUUCCAGCAUUGAUUCAUUAUCGGAGUUCAUCAAAAGCACUUUCGGAAAGCUCGACAUUUUGGUACAUACAUGAUCAUUCUAAGUUGAAAUCAUUAUUACAUACCAGUGUCACUCUUUUAUGAAGUUGUUGUUUUUGUUUCUUAUAAAGGCCAUUCUUUUGUUACAAACCUAAUGAGCACGUUUGCAUGUUUUCUUAUAAUUUUUAUGAUUCUCUAAUUAUAUAUAUAUAUAUAUAUAUAUAUAUAUAUAUUGAUUUGUUUCAGGUGAACAAUGCUGCAAUAGCAGGAGCCACAACAGACUAUGAGGUGCUUAGGUCUAGUAUUGUUAAUAGCAAGGUAAAAUUUUAUCUUAAACUACUUAAGUUCAAGAGCCAUGCACAGUCGAUAGCGUAGAUUUCCAGUUGAAAGAUCUAACAAUGUGUCCAAAUGGUUAGAUUUAAUGCUUACUGUUCUCUUGUUAUAUCAGUGUAUUUCAAUUUUGUAUCUCUUUCGGACGUCGCGCAUUUUGUUGCAUCACUAAACGUAGCUGAAAUUCGUGGAUCGACGUCAGAGCCUGAAGAGUGAAUUUAUGAAACAUUAAUUGGCGCGAAUUACAUCAAUUAUGUUAGUGAUGGAGUUAGCGAGAACACGUGAUUUCUUGUUAUCUACUACUAAUUUCGUUCUUCUCGUGAACUAGACGGGAGGAAUACCCAACAUCACGACUCAAGAGACCUACAAAUGGGCAGAAGAAUGUAUGGACACGAACUAUUACGGAGUUAAGAGAGUAACAGAGACAUUAAUCCCUCGUCUUCUAUCAUCCGAGUCACCGAGGAUCGUCAAUGUUUCAUCUCAUUUUGGGAAGUUACAGGUAUGAAUCAACUCAAAAUAAUUUUCAGCAAUACUGACAUUUAGAAGUNUAUAUAUAUAUAUAUAUAUAUAUAUAUAUAUAUAUAUUGAUUUGUUUCAGGUGAACAAUGCUGCAAUAGCAGGAGCCACAACAGACUUUGAGAUGCUUAGGUCUUGUAUUGUUAAUAGCAAGGUAAAAUUUUAUCUUAAACUACUUAAGUUCAAGAAACAUGACAAAUAUAGAGGGUGAGUACAUGCGAGAUUUGAAUAUGCACCCUUUUCGCCAUGCACCGUCGAUAGCGUAGAUUUCGAGUUGAAAGAUCUAACAAUGUGUCCAAAUGGUUAGAUUUAAUGCUUACUGCUCUCUUGUUAUAUCAGUGUAUUUCAAUUUUGUAUCUCUUUCGGAAGUCGCGCAUUUUGUUGUAUUACUAAAUGUAGCUGAAAUUCGUGGAUCGACGUCAGAGCCUGAAGAGUGAAUUUAUGAUUUUCUGUUAAACAUUAAUUGGCGCGAAUUACAUCAAUUAUGUUAGUGGAGUUAGCGAGAACACGUGAUUUCUUGUUAUCUACUACUAAUUUCAUUCUUCUCGUGAACUAGACGAGAGAAAUACCCAACAUCCCGACUCAAGAGACCUACAAAUGGGCAGAAGAAUGUUUGGACACGAACUAUUACGGAGUUAAGAGAGUAACAGAGGCAUUAAUCCCUCGUCUUUUAUCAUCCGAGUCACCGAGGAUCGUCAAUGUUUCAUCUUAUUUUGGGAAGUUACAGGUACGAAUCAACUCAAAGUAAUUUUCAGCAAUACUGACAUUUAGAAGUACCAAUUUCAUUAAGUUCUUGUGGAUAUUAAGAUAAAUUUGAAUAUUUUCAAUUAUUAUUUUGUACUUUUAUCUGAAUGUUCUGCUCUAUUGUAACAACUGUUUAUAUUCUGAUGAUGUUUUUCACUACUAUUAUAACCUGGUUCUUCUUGUAAUUGUUUCAGUUCAUUCCCAAUGAGAGCGUCCGGAAAGAAAUGGAUGACGUAGAUCGCUUAACCGAGGAGAAAAACGAUGAGAUGGUUCGAUCCUUCCUAAAUGAUUUCAAGGUAGGAGACUUGACGAAAAAUAACUGGCCAACUACCUACUCGUCUUAUAUCAUGUCUAAGGCGGCAAUGGGUGCAUAUACGAGGAUUAUUGCGAAGAAAUAUCCCGCAAUCUGUGCAAACUGUGUACAUCCAGGCUAUGUGAAAACGGACAUCAAUGGAAAUACGGGUACUAUGCCCGUCGAAGAAGGCGCUAAGGGACCUGUAAUGGCGGCUUUGCUUCCGCAUGGUAGUCCUUCAGGGCUCUUUUAUGAUAAGACCGAAGUAUCGUCCUUUAUGUAAUGUUACAAUAUACUUCGUCGUGAUAAUAACUUGUUUUUCUCUUCGUGAACUAGUUGGUAGAGAUAAUAAUACUUGUACAAGUUGAAAUUUGUACGAACUUGACGUAUACCGUACCUGUGGUUUCCUUUGGUGUUUGCUAUCUAUAUUUGCUUUGUAGAAUUGAAAGAAUGAACAUUAUGAAGCAAGUAACAGUGAGGUGAAAAUUAGUCGCAGGAACGCAAUCCUGUGUUAUUUGUUGCCUCAAUUAAAGGUCCAUGAGCCAUCUUUUCUCUCAUAAACUCAAAUUCUUAAGCUUUAACAUGAUUAAGAAUGCGUCGCGAGCAACAUUGCCAACUUUAUUGUUGCACUAAUGUGUGAAUGAUAGUUAGUUAUUUAUUUCCCUUGAUAUAAAUCUCACUUUUGUUGAAGCAAAGAAUCAGCAAAAGGCUGGAGAAGCCAAUGAUUACAUAGGCAAAAGAAAAGGUAAGGUAAAAAAUUUGAAGGGAGAAAAAAAGUCUGAGCAUAACCAUAGGCCUUUUUAUGACUCUUCCUGGUCCGGUGAGGGGUCUUCCGGUGCAGGAUCUGCUUCAGCCCCCUCUGCGUCAGGCGCCGCGGCCUCGGUUGAGCUCUUCUUAGUGGAAGCAGUCUUGAUCAAGUGGUUGUAGCUCCCUUUCUCCUUGAACAGCUGAGCAAAAUGGUGCUUGCAGUAGAGAAUGCCAUCGAGAGCGGCGUAGGAAGAAGUCGUGAGCUGGCAGCCGCCGUGCGAGCACUUGAAGCAGGUCUUGUGGUAUGACUCACCCUCCACAGUCAGCUAAAAAAGAAGAAGAGCUAAGAUUAUUUCUUAUUAUUGGUAUAGGAUGAUAACAGACACUUUUUAUUUGUGUACCUUCUCCAAGGGGUAUACUGUUUUCUUGCAGGUUGCACACUUAUCUUGAGUGCCAGAGAACAUGGAAGAUAGCUUGCUCGGAGUCCUCGACUGCUUAAGAUCGCGAUAAUAUGAGAAUAGAUAGCAAUUAUAUAUUUCACCUACGGAAAUAAUAUAUCAAAGCUAGUUAAAAAGGUGUGGCAGAUAGAAGGUUGAAUGUACCAGUUCAUUUUGCUUGUCAGCAGACUUUCCACCUGAAUCAAAGAACCAAUUUGAAGGCAUAAGCUCUUGAGAUUUGAAAGAUUAAAAAAAAAAAAAUCAGAAAAUAGUUUGAAUUUAAUGAAAUUCACCUGCUGGAAAUUUCUUAGAGAAGGAACCUGUUUCCUUGAAAAGCUGCUCAAAGUGGGGCUUGCAGUAGAGGACACCAUCCAUUGAAGAGUAGCUACACAUCUGGAGAUAAAACAUGAAUAAAAGUAACUCACUAUUCUUUUUUCCUUUUUUUUUUUUGACAUGUUCGCAGUUAUUACUAGAAUCUAAGAUGUCGCAAUCGAAAGUAUACAAAACUGCAAAAAAAAAAAAAAAAAAAAAAAAAAACAUUGCGGAUACGCACGGAAAGAGUUCCUUUGCAGUGGCUGCACUUGAAGCAGGUCUUGUGGUACGGGAUCCCGUCGGCCGACAGGAGAUCAAUGAAAUGCACCGUCUUGUCGCACGCCUUGCAUUUGUCCUGCGUACCGCUGAACGACAUGAUGGCGACUCAACCAACAACAACACUCCUGAUCUUCUCAACACAACAAACAAGCCAACAGGAUCAAGGUCGGAGCCUCAAAAUCCGAAUCCCUGAUGUUGCUGCAGCUGUUUUGCAGUGCUCUAUCAGCAUAAGAGCUUGUGCAUAAAUAGAAGGAUUGAUUGCCUCUCUCUGUCCAAAAUGCGUUUAACAGCAGAUAUAAGGGAAGAGAGGGGAGGAAAAGGAAAUGCAAAGGUGAAGACUUUAAAGCAUGAGGCCCAAAAACUAUGAGGUGGUGAGGGAGAGGUGGGGGUUGGGGAGGAAAGAUAGGAGAUGCAUGAGCUCUCUUAACCGCAAAGACCAAGUCAAGCAGGUGGAAGGGUAAGGAGUGGUUUUUGCAAAUCCUACUUGUUUUAGGAAUUUGCUGCUGCAUGAACCCAGGUUACCAUGUUCGCCGCGGACCACACCAAUCAGAAGAUAAUCUAUACCUCGAAAUGAGGAGAACUUUUACCUGCGCCUGGUCUGCCAUGUGAGCCGCGCGCCUUACACUAGUUGUCACUUAACAUCUACUCUUUCAUUAUAUUCAGAUUGCACAUUGUUGAAACAAUCUUCAUUUGCGACACUUUAUACGAUUAAUACAGCUAAUACAAAGAGCGAAAAUCAUAGUUACAAAUAAUUGUCCUGCAAAUUCUGAAUCUUUGGCAUAGUUUUGUUGCUUUUUUACUUCCAAACUUCUAUUUGACAGUCAAAUCUGUAUCUGUGGUUGUGAUGACUCUCAGAAAAAUUACUUGCACAAUUUUUCAUCAUGUAGACUGAAGAUAGAGACAAAACACACAAAAACAUGCACUGGCGCACAAGCACAUACUCAUAGAGAGGAAAUCAUUCCUCUCUCCAGUAUCAUCGGCAUCAUCCUACCAAUUUCAUCUUGAAUAAUCUGUUUCUUUUAUCUGAUCAAACAACAAUCUGAUCUCAUUCAAGGGCUCACCGACGGCUGAUCUGGUCGGAGAGAGCUUUAGUUGUCGCAUACUGAAUAAUACUUGCACGGUGCACCAAAUGCGCAGAUCACUGUGUAAGCAUGCCUGUGCUAGAAUAUAGUGCUCAGAUCACUUCCUCUGCUUGAGAAUUGGAAAGGUUCAAAAGAAUAUCAUGCUUGCUAUGUUUAUGAUUCAACAGACACAAUCACAUCAACAGAAGGAGAAAAAGGGAAGGGCAAGCACAUGCGCAUGGAUAAGCCAUCCAUAUUAUUAAAAAAUUCAUAACACAUCAUAAUGUUAUGUCGAAUUACAUGGCCUACCUUCUAAUAUCUACAUAACCUUCUGUUUAUUCCGGGCAUAUGUUGAAAGCAUAGCCGGGCAUAGAAACCAUGCAUAAUCAAGGAGGCAAAACAACUUCUUGGCUUAAGAUAAGAUCAGACACGGUCUUCCCGUGCCGAUCUAUUCUUCUAGAACAAUUAACUCCUCCGUCCAGAAUAUUCUGGACCACAACAUUUAGAGAGUGGAUGCCCGGAGCUUCGUAGAUCUCCACCCUCACCUGCUUGAGGCGAUCUUCACUUUGCUGAAUUUUAUGUUCAGAAAACAGAGAAGCAUCGAGGAGAGCCGAAACAACAUUCUGCACCCAAUCUGGUGUGACCACCUUUUUAAGCCUCUCAAGAUCAGUAGGAAAGUGAGGAAUUAAAGAAAAGUUCAAGUCAUUUCCUUUGUCGCCAGUCCUACUAUGGGCUACUUGAUAGAGAGCAAUCCUCUUGUUUGCUGGGGCAGCAGCAGAUGCUACUGGCGGAAGCACUUUUCUGUAUAGAUGAUUGCCCCCUGGAGUAGAUGAUUUGCUAUCUUGUUCCAUGAUGAGGAUUUGAACUCUAGUCUCAUCCACGUCAUUGUGGUUUUGCUGAUCCAGAAUGUUUGUCCGUUUCAUAUUCGCUCGCCAGAAAACAUUUUCCCUAUCGACCUAGGCAUAAUAAAAGCAUUUGGAUAUGAUUAGUCUCUGUUGAUUAGCAUUAAGAAACAAAGAUCAUUUACCAAUAAUGAGAUUGAAAAGGCAUUGUACUUCAAUGAUCCUAGAAUAUUAAUCAGAAUUAUCAAACUAUUAUACUGCUAUCUCCAGGUAUUCUAUGUAUCGCAAGGAAAAAAGCAUCACUGCGGCAUAACAUGAAAACUCUACAAUCAUUCGAGACAAAAAGGCAAAACCUAUUAUGUUUUAAAUCCAUACUGAUGUUAGAAAAGCGCACAAUUUCAUUAUGUUCUGUCAAUCAAGAAAUCAUGCCUGAACCAGAAAAAAAUCAGAUGAAAAUUUUAUCACAUAAACAAGUUGUCUCUAGUGAAGAGGCAGUGACAAACGGUAGACAUUUUCCUCAUACUAAUAGUUUCUAAAUCACUUGCCAGGAGAACAAAUGAGAUACUUCUUUUUCAGUCAAAAUGAUUACCAUACCAGUUCUUUUUGAAGAAUCGUCUCUUUCUUGUGUUCGGUGCUGCAUUUAGGGGAAAAAGAACUCAGAAAUACUAUUAACCGGCAAUUAAAAGAAAUGAACAGAAUUCAGCCAGUAUGUUAGAGCAAUUCAAUCAUAAGUUCCAUGCAUUCCAUUUACACAAAAAUGGACGAGGGGCACUCAGUAAUCUCUACCUAAUACCGCCACCACCAGCUGGUCCAUUUGUGUAGAGAGCUAUGAACUCUUCGGUAAAGCGAAUAGCAUGCUCCUCGAGCUCAAACAAACCAUCCAUUCUAAGUCUAACAUCCAAAACUUCUUCUGUUGAUGAAGUGUCUUUAUCAAUCUUUCCAGUUUUCAGGCUGUCAUAUCCAACAACGUAAGAGAUCAUAUGAUCUUUAACUCCUGGUACUGCUUCUUCCAUCCAUGAUCUAACCUAAAAGGAACAUAGGCAUGUAUUACCUUACCUUAUAGGUGGAUUACUAAAAUGAUAACUUAUAAGCGCAAUAUUUAGCUUUGCCCAUACUCUGCGUCUCUGAAGGCUAUGCAUGAUAGGGAGAUGAUGCAAAGGAAGUCACAAAACAAAUGCUCAUCUUCAGAACAAUUAAACGGAAUAAGAUAAUGCUAAGAACAAUAGCUUAUUCAAGUUUAUGAUGAGCUCACGCACCAGAUAUUCUGCAGCUUGAGCACGCCUUACGCAUCCAGGUCCUCCAUAGGAGAUCUCUCCCCAACCUUUCCAUCCACAAUCCUGAAGGACAUUUUACAACUAUAUUGUCAUGAAGUUUCAAAAGCCAGGUACUGUGGCAUUACAUCAUAAUAAACUUCAGAGGUCAAUAUUUUCAAAUGAUAUCUUAGUGAAAGAAAAUGUGCAGUGUAAUGUAUCUGAUUCAUUAAGAUUUCAGAUAAAUAAAAUUCAGAGGAUUUGGACAUCUUUGAAAGUCAACAAUGAGCUGAUGAGGAUGUUAGAUCCAACAAAAAAAAAGAAAAGAAAAAAAGAUCCAUAUUGUCAAUGUUAGAAAUGACAACCUGGGUGAAUCUUUCAAGCAGAAAGAAUGGACAAAAUCCUAUUAACAAACAUAAUUUGUACUUACUUCCUCUCCAAAAUUAUACUUGCACUUUCAAUUUCCCAUACCGUCAGCUAGAGUUUAUCAAAGAAUCAACAGUACAAUUUCGCCAAGCAAUUAUGGCUAACAAAAUUUCCAGACGAUCUAAAUACCUUAGUUAAUGAUUGCUUUCUUUCAUGUCAUCCCACAAUUGGGUUCAAACACCUGAAUUUAGUGUACCAUUUUUAGAAGUAAACCAAGCAAUAUUUCUUGUAGUUAUCACAUAUUAAACUUUGUGAUAUCUCUCCACAUUCUAAUACGCUUAUUGUUGUUCUCUAGUAUAAAUAUUUUCCCAAUAAAACUUCUAAUAAAUAUGAAUCACAAGUUAACUGAAAAAGGUACCUCUAUCACAGAAAAGAAGUAUCAUCACAGCGAUAACAUAACAUCAAUUGUUAUUUACUAUUCAUUACAAUUAUAAAGCAUGGCGUACCAUUGGAACUAACUGCAGAAGUUUUUCAGGGAAAAGUACACUUGACGGCUUUGCCCCAAUGCACACAACUCUGUCAUUUGAUAUUGGGCGGAAGUUCACAUUACUCAAAUCUAUAGCCUGAUUAAGAACAUUUUAGUAGCAAUUCUAACUACAAGAUUCAACUAAAGAGAAAAAUUGGCAUUUGACCUCACCAAAUCAGGAGUAAUGUACCGUCCAGGAUCUCCAACUUCAUACAGAAGCUGCUCUGCACAAGUGCUGAAGUUUAAAACACCUCCACUCCCAUCUGCUUUUGCUACAUAUACUUCCCCCUUGAAGCUUACUUCAGCAAAUGGGAGAGAUAAAUCUAGAAGCUGUUCAAAAGGAAAAUCACGGUGCGUAUCUCCUGCUUAUUUUUGAAUACAUAGAUUGCACUAUUAGCAUUGCACCAUUAGCACACUGUAGAAAGAUAAAUAUACGUAGAGGAAGUAAAUAUUUGUCUUAGUUACACCAUUUGUACCUGGAUGCAUGAAGUAUCCUCCUGUAAGUUGACAACCACACUCUAAAAGAUGACCAGCUAAAGAGCCUUGGGCCAGUUGUUCAUAGUCAUUCCAGUUCCAACCUAAUUCGUAGACCUUGUUAUGACAAAUAACAUGAGUAUUUCACUGACUAGUAUGUGUUUAUUAGUAACUUAGGUUUACAUACUUUAGCCCAGGUAAUCAAAGGCCCAUUACAUCAAGUUGCCACCACUGGUGGACUAGACUUGUAAGCACCCCUAACAUUUUCUUAUGCAGCACAAUUCGGGCAUGACGCAAGAAGAAGAGAUAUGGAACUCCUGAGAUAAGAUGUCAUGUCCCUUUCAAAAGCACGACCAAGUAGCAAUACAAAACGCUACAUUUCUCACUGCCAUUAAUUAUCUAUGAUAUGUAGAGGCUUCUAGAUGAAUAGAAAACAGUGAAAUCAUCAUGCAAAAGUAUCCAGAAAAACUGAUCCCAGAAAAUAAAAUAAAAUAAAGUAGUGCCAUCAACUUCCAGAUUUAACACAGGAAAUGGCUUUAUUUCUAUCAAAAGUUUGCAAACAAUUCAUCUACAUAAUUUACAAUACAACAAACAAGGAAAAGAAAAAUUUAACAGCUGAAAAAUAUAAAAUAUGUACAAGCUUAAGAAUUGAUAUGAUUAACUUACCAUUGGAGCUAGGAAGAGUGCAGCAUCAGCAACUCGGGAGGUGAUGACUACAUGUGGUUUGUACUUCUCUAGGCAAUAAGCAAUAGGAGCUGCUCCCAGGUAGGUACUCUUGCCCUUCGCAUAAAAGAAGAUGAAACAUAAGGGCAAUGGUUGCCGAAAAAAUUGACACGGCAUAUUCUGCUUGAAAAUAUUCACUAAUGAUGUCUAGCAGCCUAGCAGUGUUAUCGCUGAUCGACUAAAGCAUAAACAAAUAUUGCCAUAACUUGAAAAAUAAAUCAUACAUUAAGGAGAUCAGGAUUUACCUCUCUUAAUUUUGUAGAUCCUUCAGAUGACUGAGGAUAUUCUGCAAAAAUAGAAAAUCCGGUUAAAGCAGUCACAGGAAAAAUCACUUGACUCCUCGAAUAAUAAAAUUCAGAUGCAAAGAGCUGUCCAACAAAAAAUUGGAAUGAGAGAGAGAGAGAGAGAGAAAGUAGCUUUGAGCUACUUUCUAUCGAUGUUUUCUGUUUGCUUAAAGGGACCAGCGUCCUGGCUUGCUACCGAAGGCCAAGUUGAGCCGAGUCACGUUCGAAAUAGCGGGAGGCCGGGUUGGGCUGAGUUAUGUUCAAAGUGACGUGAGGCUGGUGGGGCCGAGUCGCAAUCGAGAACCAUGGGUGCUGUGUCUGUACGCUUUAAGUGAAUUUGAUUGCAUAUUUUUAAUAGCUCGAGCUUUUGAGAGUAAUGACUAGCGCCAACGAUCCGACAUUUUCUUGUUUGAAAGUCUUACCAGAUUUUGCAAGAGGAACUUCAUGAGCUACCGAGACAGUUAUUUCGAGUCCUAGAUUGCACGCAACAUCUAGCACUUCUUUCUGCGCACCGAGCGGGUCCACUUUCAAUCAAGAGUGCAUACAGGGAAAAAGAAAUAUCGAUCAGAAAACAAUGGCUUCUGGAACAAAACAAUCAAAAUCGAGAAGAUUAUUACCUGCACCCAUAUUGGUAAUUAUACAGACUCCUCGCUCCACCGCCAAAGGUAGAAGCAGUGUCAUCCACUCACUUACUGCAAAGUUACAUAAUUCACAGCAUAAGUAUAGAUGGAACUAGCAUCAGAAAUGAUCCGAACAAUAACUAAUGAUAUAUUUCAAUGAACCCCGAUAAACCAAGCUUUAUAUUAAGUAUGUAUAUGUCUGCAAAUAAAUUUGCAACAUAAAAAGCGUCAAUUGAUCAAUGAAAAACUUUUAACAUGCAAAAAUAUUAAGAAUUUAAUUGAUCAAGUCAUAAAAUGAGUGAAACGGCGUACUUCGAGGGUCGAACCCUUUUCCGCCGGACAUCAUUACUUUGUACCGAUCGGCCAGCGUCCGCUCGGCCAGGCAUUCAAGAACAAGGUAGUCGAGUUCUUUGACUCUUUGAAGCAAUUUAAGCGCCGCCGAAGGCCGAUCCCCGCCGAAUCCUGCUCCGCAACCAACAUAAACCCUAUCCUUGUGCCUCUGAGGAUCAUUUCUCUACCAAAUUAAAAAGAUAACAAUAACAAUAAGUGAUUAAAUUAGGGUUUUUCUUGUUUCAAUCAGAAGCAGAACACAAUUAGCAACAUAGAGAGAGCAUCAUGCUUACCAGUUUGAUCUCGCAAUUGAAGAGCUCGUCUUUAUCCAUUCGAUCUUACAGCUCACAAUACACAAAAGAUUCGUAGUAAAGACCCACCAACAACAGAUAUUUAACAAAAAAAAAAAAUUUAAAAAACUAAUGUCUCAAAGAGUAGUUCAUUGUAGUUGAAUAAAUGAUGAUGAUGACGAUGAUAAUAAUAAUAAUAAUAAUAAGGGAAAACUUCAAAAACCUCCCUGUGGUUUCGCACUUUUUUAUUUUAAACCACAGGAUACUAAAAUAAAAAAGUGAGAAACCACAGGGAGGUUUUUGAAGUUUUCCCUAAUAAUAAUAAUAAUAAUAAGGGAAAACUUCAAAAACCUCCCUGUGGUUUCGCACUUUUUUAUUUUAGUAUCCUGUGGUUUGAAGUGUAUCAAAUUAGUACCCUGUGGUUUCUCACUUUAUCACUUUAGUACCUUGUGAUUUAAAAAACUAUAGGGUACUAACUUGAUACAAAAUUAAAACCACAGGAUACUAAAGUGAUAAAGUGCAAAACCACAGGGUACUAACUUGAUACACUUUAAACCACAGGGUACUUAAGUGAUAAAGUGAGAAACCACGGAGUACUAACUUGAUACAUUUUAAACCACAGGGUACUAAAGUGAAAAAGUGUGAAACCACAAGGGGGGUUUUUGAAGUUUUCCCUAAUAAUAAUAAUAAUAAUAAAGGGCAAUUACUUAUAUAUUUUCAAAAAGUUUCUGAAUUUUUUAUUUACUCUUUACAUUUUUACUUAUUUCAAAUAUAUUACUAGAGUUAAAUUAUGUUAAUGAAUUGUUAACAAUAGUUGUUAUCUAAAAAUAUCCUUUCACCGGCACUAAUUUUUCUUAUUUGUCCUUAAAUUAGGGAUACAAAAAGUAUUUUAAUUUUUUAGUUUUUUAAAUAUACCCUUCUAUCAUCACUAAUAUUUCUUAUUUGUCUUUAAGUUAAGGAUAAAAGAGGCAUUUUAAUUUUUUUAAAUUCUAGAUAUUUAACCCAUAUUUAACCUAAAUUAGUUUAACGGGUGGUAAUUAUAUAAAUACUUUAGAAUAACGGAGAAAUAUACGAGAAAUAUAUUGAAAAGAAGGGAAAAAAAAAAGAUAUUUCUAAAAUUUGGAGGGAUAUAUAUAGAUAAUUAUCCCUAAUAAUAAUAUUUAUAAUGGAAAUCAAAGUAGAGAUGGUUUUGAACAACUUUGGAAUAGGAUAAACUUGGCUUUUUAGUGGAGUUCAAUUCUCACACGCUGCAGCGGAAAACUGGCGUAUGCUAAUGGGUAGUGGGUCUGGACCUGGUCCGCCAUGUUAGUCGAGAAUACACUUUCGUGAAAGAAAAUUCUGCACAUUAGGUUGCUUGCAAUGCAUCCCAACAAAAUGGAUCCCCCGCUACCGCAGGUGUGGCAGUGAAUGGUCUUGUAUUUUGGACAGGCGUGUAACUUCAAUCUCAAUAGAGAUAAACAAUUUACAUAUAAAUUAUCGUAAAUUUAUAUCAUUUUAAACUUUUUGUAAACAAUUCUCUACAAUUCAGAUUUAAUAUAAUAUAAUAAUAUCCGAUUGAGGCGCCACUCUAAUAAGAAAUGUUAUAUUUAUUUAAAAAUUACUUUUGAGGAUAUUUGAUAAUUUUAAAAAAUUAAAGAUAUUUAAAAGACUACUGCGUGUCACAAAAUUUUAAGUCCUUAAAAUAUAAAGUGCAUUGGGACGUGUUUAAGAUCUUUGCGAUAAGUUUUAGGGCCGGUCCAUGGUGGACCAGGUCCAAGCAGAAUUAUUCGUUCCAAUGCCCCCGAGCCGUCUUUCCAGCAAAGGCUAAAAUCGUCAACUUGUGCAAGUUAAAAUAAAUACACAACCCUAAACUUUAAAACGUUUUGAAAUUCAGUCACUAAACUUUUCAUUCUUUCAUUUUUUGAUUUACCAUUUUUUAAUUUACUAUCCGUCUAAGGUUUAAUUUAGUUUAUUCUAUUAACAAUUUAAAAAAUUCAUGUAUCUUUUAUGAGUGUUUAUUUUGAUUUUAUUAGAAUUUUUACCAUUAUUAUAAACAAAAUAAGCCAAAUUAAGAGUGAUGAUACAUGUACACCAAAAAAAAAAACAUCAUACACUUUUUUAAUGCAAGAACCCGUAUGAAUUAUUAUAGAGUAAUGAGUUGGACAAAAUGUGAAAAUACACUCUCUUUGCGCAUGUUUGUUUCACCGAAAUUAAACUUUUAGUUGAAGUGAAUUUUGGAUUGAAAUAGUUUUCGGUGAAAACUACUUUCACAUUUGUUUCGUAGUUAUAAAAGUAAAUUUCAUUAGUUCUACUUUUUAUUUGGGAGGAUGAGUAUGAUAUAAAACUAUAACUUAUAUAUAAAUAAUAAAUAAUUUAAUAAAUAAAAUAAUAUAAUUAUAUUUUAUAUAAUUAAAAUUUAAUUUAAAACAACAAAAUUAUUUUAUAUAUAAACUAUAGUAAUACAACAAUAAAAUUAUAAAGUAAAAAAAUAUUAAUACUUAAUUAAUUAAUUUUUAUCAUAUUUUAAUUGUACAAACUAAAUAAAAAAAUAUUAAAAUUUAACUAAUCAAUUUUUAUCAUAUUUUAAAUAUGUCAAUUGAAUAAAAAAAUAAUUAAUAUCAUAAUUAAAAAUAUUUAAAUAUAACUAUCUUUAUCUAGUAUAUUAUUUUAUCACUUCUUCUUCAUCUUUUUGCAUCAUAAUUGACUUCGGCCCAUAAUAAGUCGAAAUCAAUUAUGCCGUUUUAGAUUAGCUCGAGUUUCGACCAUAACUGUUUUACGACGAACCAAACAAUGAAAGUGAUUGUUUAUGAUAAAAACGACUUUCCCACUAUCCACUUCCACCCCGCUUUCAUCCAAACAAACAUGCCCAAAUUUCGGAUGUAGGCGUAUUAUACAUUUUAAACCUUUUUUUAUGAUUAAUUUUAUACAGAUUCCUGCUGAAUUACAAAUAUAUCUUUAUAAAGUUUAACUUUCAUAUAUUGUUCCUACAAAAGUUUUAAUGUUUUCAAAUAUAUCUCUUUAGUUUGUUAAAAAUUAAAACGCCGUCUAUUUUAUAAGUAAAAUGAUAUUUUUGCCAUCAUAAAUAUGCCUCUUCAAACAUCUUAAUUGUUAAUUGAAAAGAGAUAAAAGGAUCAAUUCAUCUCAUUAACUAACUAGGGUUAAAUAUUUAACCUAUGGUUAACUAUAUUUUUCUAACGGAUUCAAACGGUAGGAAUAUAUUUGAAAACAUCAUAAGUUUUGUAGGAAUAAUAUAUAAAAUUUGAACUUUAUAGGUAUAUAUUUAUUAUUUACUAUAUUGCCAGGGACAUGUAUGCAAUUAACCUUUUGUUUAAAUUUAUU
rnacentral:lncRNA from 1 species